CAAGUUAUUAAUAGAACUUACUAUUACUUCAUAUCAUUAAACUGAAUUACAUUUUAUGAUGCUUCCAAAAUAUAAAAAUGUCUCAAAGAUGCAAAGCUUUUUUACACGGACAAAAGCUAACUAAAAUAUAAGAAAAACCAUAAUCUUUUGUAGUUUAGCUAUUCCAGGAGGGGCAACACCAAAAUAACUAAAUUGUUGUGGGUUCGGAUAAUUAAGUGAUUUAUUCUAUUUUUUGAGUAGUAGUAGUAGUAAACCAAGGAGUAAUCUAUAACACACAUCUAGUCAUUUACUAACCUAACCUCCUUCGAAACAUAAAGAUAAUAGUUAUAACUGGGGAUUCAAAAGUUGUGCCUUCCAAAGAUUUAAGCUUUCAUGAAUAUCCACUACGCAAUCCUGAAAAUUAAACAAAAAUUGGAAUAAAUUUCAAUGAUAAGUUAAAACAAAACCUGGUGAAGAGGAAAGAAUACAACUGAUCCUCUUUCAUGAAUCAAAAUUUACCCAAUCUUUCUGAAUAGAACUCGCAUGCUUCUUGUGGAGGAGCAAUGAUGGUUAAACAGAAGCUUGUAACCAAUAAUUUUACAAAAAAGCAGCAUAUAAACGUAGAUGAUAGAAAGUGAUCAUUAACUAUUGCGACACCUCUACUGCAUAGAUAAAAUCACCCUAGUUGCUUUGUAUGAAUUCUUGAGAAAUCAUGAGAUAAAGGAAGAAGGAAAUAGAGAUGCCCGUUUGCCAAAAUUAGGGCUUUUUAGCUUCAUAGUUGUGAGGAGGGAAGAAAUCCGUGAAGAGAGGAAAGAAGGGGCUAAUAUAGUCGGGAGGAAAGGCGCAAGAAAGAAAUUUGCUGUUGUUUUUCACCAAAAAUCAUCAUCUGUGAGGUCUGAAACCCACUUGAACGCAAGAACUUGAUUGCUGUUGUUUUGGAUGCUUGUGUUUCUUCUGAUUUCGUCGGUACCAAUCUUGUCAAAAUCGGUACAACGAGAGGAGCGGUGGAGCUAAAUCGCAUUUUUAAUAUCGUUUUGUAGAGGAAGGGGAGAGAUGAAGAACGAGUAAAGGGAACUACUGAGAGGAAGAGAGGCGCGAGAUGGUAAAUGGAACGGUUGUAUGCAGUUGAGUAG
rnacentral:lncRNA from 1 species